GACGAACGCUGGCGGCGUGCUUAACACAUGCAAGUCGAACGGAGUGGCGAACGGGUGAGUAACACGUGGGUGAUCUGCCUUGCUCUUCGGGAUAAGCUUGGGGAACUGGGUCUAAUACCGGAUAGUGCAAGAUGAGCUCGCGGCCCAUCAGCUUGUUGGUGGGGUAAUGGCCUACCAAGGCGUCGACGGGUAGCCGGCCUGGGAGGGUGUACGGAAACAGUGGGGAUGCUAGACGGCCCAGACUCCUAGGGGAGGCAGCAGGGGGGAAUAUUGCACAAUGGGCGGAAGCCUGAUGCAGCGACGCCGCGGGGGGGAUGAAGGCCUUCGGGUUGUAAACUCCUUUCGACAGGGACGCGGUACCUGCAUAAGAAGCACCGGCUAACUACGUGCCAGCAGCCGCGGUAAUAC
rnacentral:rRNA from 1 species